CGAUAGGCAGGUACGCGGCCGUACUUUUCAAGUUGGUUUGUCGAAAUGAAGCCGGGGAGACGUGCCCUGGCCGACGAUUUUUAAAGGUCAAACGGCUUUAGGCGCCGCCCAUUAAAAUCAUACGAUGUUUUUGACCAAUGCCCAGACGCAAAGGAUUGAAGAGAAAGCUGCUUAGGGUCCCGCGCGACCGAUAAACGAACCAUUAGCAAGGUCACUGUAAUAUUGAUCUAUUUUAUUUUAAGCUAGUUUUAAGUGAUUUAUGUAAUUAUUUGUUUUGUAAAUGUUAUUUAUUUAGUGAUAAGAAUAAAAUAUUGUUUACAGUU